CACGUAGGCGGAUUGGUAAGUCGGUUGUGAAAUCCCGGAGCUCAACUCCGGAACUGCUUCCGAAACUACCAGUCUGGAGGACGAGAGGGGAGAGUGGAACUUCUGGUGGAGCGGUGAAAUGCGUAGAUAUCAGAAGGAACACCGGUGGCGAAAGCGACUCUCUGGCUCGUUUCUGACGCUAAGGUGCGAAAGCUUGGGUAGCAAACG
rnacentral:rRNA from 1 species